CCUAGUACUUUUUUCCCUAAGAGUCACCAUUCCUAAGAUAUCGCCAUUCUAAAAGUUGAAGGAGUUACAUUCUACAUGAUGAUUACCAGUUUACAUUGGAUGAACUAGAAAAUGUUAGUAAAAAUGUAGCUUUAGAUAACAGAACUAUAAAAAUACGAUUGAAAGUAAAGUAUGGUAGUAGAAUUAUUAUUAGAGAAAAGCUGGGAAAAUUAACAUUUAUUUGUUUCUUCGACAAUUACCAAGACAUUUUAAGUCAAGCUUGGCCUGAUAAAAAAACUGGAAUGAAAAAGGACGGUUAAGAAUUUUGAAAGCCGCGGCAGCAAUUAUUCGUGACGAUAUUCAAUCUUGUGUGUUUGAUAAUAUUAUAUACCCCCCACCGAGUAGAAUGUUCGAGAAUAUAAACACCGAUAUCCCGGAUUCAUUAUCAUAUUUUUUGGAACGAGUCAUUCCUAAAAUUUGAGAGACUAUAGAUAAGAUAGAAUUUCGUUUUCAUUCUAUCAUAUCUCUCCUACCAUCGCACGCAUUGUCGCUAUGGUGAUAAAAAUCGACGGCAACUAUAUCGAACCCAAGUAACAUAGAAGGAUGACUCGACAGCAUUGGCGUAGCCUGCUAAAUAAAGUGUCAUUUAUUACUAAACUAAAUAAUUUCUUUACUUUAUAUAUAAUAGUAUGUACACAGUUUGUCCCGAAGAUAGGCGAGCUUUUUAAAAAUAAUAAUGCAGAGGCAUCGUUUCUAAGAAAAUGUUUUAUUUUAUGCAAAACACAUUUCUCCUGUCGCGAUACACGUCCUAUUUGCAUGCCCACUAAUGCGUCAAGACGUGUGUGUGAUGCGUGUGUGAAAUUUGUAUAAACAGUGUUUGUGUGUUAUGUUAUUAAAUAGGUUUUGGAGUUCGAUAUUUAAUUGAUUCACACAGAUUCAGUUUUUAUAUUCUGUAUUUCACCACCAUGUACAGUCAUAUAAACACACUGGAUACUCUCUGAUAAUUAACACGUGGCGGACGUGAAAACAAAAAAGCGUCGUUAGAAGUCGUACCAACUUUGCAUGUAGGAACUAGCGAUCAUACCAAUCUAAUAUUUUCCUCAACAUGCUAUUAUUUAUUAAUUAUGUAUGGAGACAAAGGAUUGAAGGGAACAUUAAUCUUCUUUACUCGAAAGUUCCAUGAGGCGGUUUUCGACAUCCUGUUAUGGAUUUUAAUGUGUAGACCUACGAUUGAUAUUACUCGAAAUUCAGAUGCUAUUGCAUAGAUUUAUUCAAAAUAAUGUCACCUUCGACAAUUAUCUGGGAAGAAAUCUUAACGCCAAUAAUAAUGAGCGAUUAUAUUUUAAAGUGACAACGAAUACGGGAAGAAACGAAAAUCAUGACCUAUAGAAUAGAUAUAAACUAGGUAUGGAAGGAAAUACGCUGCCAGUAAGAAUAGUUGUAACGGUGUUCUUUAUGCCAUGGGAGGAUUUCAAGUCAAUCCCCAUUGAGAAAAAAGAAGCAAUGUAAAAAAGAAUAAAAAAUUAAAUUUGUAAACGUUUUAUACACACAUUUAUUAUGAUAAAUGAAUUAUUAUUAUAAGAGCGAUGAUUUUACUUAUUCU
rnacentral:lncRNA from 1 species